GCUGACUCUCUUUUCAGACUCAGCCCACUUGCACCCAAGUGAAUUAACAGCCUUGUUGCUCACACAAAGCCUGUUUAGGUGGUCUUCUAUACGGACAUGCUUGACACUUGGUGCCAAAAUCUGGGCCAGGGGGACUCCUUCGUGAGACCGGCCCCCUGUCCUGGCCCUCAUUCCGUGAAGAGAUCCACCUGCGACCUCGGGUCCUCAGACCAGCCCAAGGAACAUCUCACCAAUUUCAAAUCGGAUCUCCUCGGCUUAGUGGCUGAAGACUGAUGCUGCCCGAUCGCCUCAGAAGCCCCUUGGACCAUCACAGAUGCCGAGCUUCGGGUAACUCUUACGGUGGAGGGCGUUGUUGGAUACUUCCGACUCUGGGUACCAAGGUUUUGCCAUUCUAACCAAACUGCUUUACAAACUCACUAAAGAUUCCCAGCCAUAUGAAGACACCCUAGCUGGACGAUCAGUCCUUGUCAAAAGUCUGACCCCUCAAACUCUACAGCCUCAAUGGACCAGACCCUACCCGGUCAUUUAUAGCACACCAACUGCCGUCCAUCUGCAGGACCCUCUCCAUUGGGUUCACCAUUCCAGAAUAAAGCCAUGCCCAUCAGACAGCCAGCUUGAUCUCUCCUCUUCCUCCUGGAAGCCACAAGAUUAGGCCGAGAGCCGAUCAGACAAACAACCUACAACCCUUAAGCUCCUGGCAGCGCCCAGCCAAGGCCAUGCUUCCUUGCAACACUCCUUCCAAAUGGCCAUCCCAGCAUGCUUCCAAGCAGGCUUCAUCCGUUCCUCUGGACCCUCAUCUCUUAAGACCUGCCGCCUAUAAAAAGGAUUAUAUCUUGAGACCCUAUCCUCUAAAAUUUUUUCCACACCCAAAACAAAAAAUCUCUGGGUCAAAAGUCUAAAACGCUUAGGCUGGCAACCAUCAGAUCCUUGCCCAUGGUGUCCUCAAGCCUACUCUCAUGAAAUGGACAACAGUACACGCAUAUGGGGCCAGUUCCACAUAUUUGGCAACCAGACCAGCAUCCAGGACAACACAAAGUAUGUUGUUUGUUGUUAGAGGGCUUGGGACAUUUCACUCUUUGCCAGCCUCAGCUUAAUCCAGGAGACAAAGAUUAUUUUCCUUAUUAUCUCUUCUGCAUAGGAUCUGCAAUCAGAACUAUUGAACUUCUCCAUUCAGACCGCCACUCACACCUAUGGGAAAAGGGUAAUGUAUCAUCGGCUUAGCAACAGGGAAUACUAUUCGUAUGAUGGAAAAUGGGGACAAAAGGCUUUGGUACAUAAAACAUUAUUCCUUCCUUGGCCUAAAAACUCAUCGCCACCUACAUUAAAGCUAAUAUGCC
ensembl:lncRNA UCA1 urothelial cancer associated 1